GGUGGUAUGGUCUAGUGGUAUGACGUCACGUUGUGGAUUGACUCAUUAGAGUCCCUCAAGUCACCGUGCCAGCCUGGGUUCGAUUCCCGGUACCGCCA
rfam:Baudoinia panamericana TAMH 10762 unplaced genomic scaffold BATCOscaffold_5, whole genome shotgun sequence.